UUCAGAGGUGUGAUCUGAUUGGGACAUGAUU
rnacentral:piRNA from 2 species